CUUGAGGGGAGAAAGGAGUGCGGAAGGGCGUUGGUGACGUCAUGCAAAAGGGGCAGGACUCAGAUCCUGGAGCGAUGCCGGAUGGAAGGGCACCCAGACCCUGGAGGCGCGGGGCCGGCAGGCACCUCUCGACCACCCCCGAGGCAGGCUCGGCCCCGUCCGCACCAGCCCAGGCGCACCCAUGGGGCGAGCGCCGGGCAGAGCGACGCAGUCCGUCCUGACAGCGCCAGGCAUAACCGCAGCAGCCCGCGGCCAGCUACCGACGGGCGUUACUGAGCGGGGCCGGCCUGUUCCCUCGAGCCGCUCGGUGGCCGCGGCAGCAGAAGGGGGUCAGCGCAGCCCCUGGGCCCCGCGGCUCUUCGCCGGUGCCGGCCAGAUUCAGCCCGGCUGGUUUCCCACCCCCAAACAAAGCUGGUGCCUCCCUCCCUGCACGGGGAAACGUCCCUCGAAUGCUCAGCGGCUGCACGGGGAGGAGCGCCCGGGGGGCAGACGAUGAGCCUCUUGCACCGGCUCGUCAUGUACGACCCUCGGGCUUCUGCUUCUGACUUCCACCAUACGGACCGUAAAAACACUUCGGGCUUUCCGGGGACCUGCCGCUUGUGGCGGUCUGCAUAGGAGUUAUGAAUAUACUCCCCCCCGCGCUACGUCCCGUGUGAGUAACAACACUGCCUUCCCAGACUGUGAGAGAAAACCAGUUUCGAGCGUCGGCUGCGUGCCAGCCUGUAGCCCAAACCAGAAUCGGCUCCGACAGACACCCUGUCGCGGAAAUGGGAGAGCGUGUAGAUCAGCGGGGACAUCCCCAAGCACAGAACCGUUCCACUCAACAGACUGCCGGGUCCUUAAUCCGCUGCACAGCUAAAGCCGAGGCACUUUGCAGCUAGCGGGUACUCCCUCGGGGCGGUACGGCAUGAUACAAUAAAAAAGAUUCUCUUCCAAA